AGAGUUUGAUCCUGGCUCAGAUUGAACGCUGGCGGCAUGCCUUACACAUGCAAGUCGAACGGCAGCACGGGAGCUUGCUCCUGGUGGCGAGUGGCGAACGGGUGAGUAAUAUAUCGGAACGUACCCUAGAGUGGGGGAUAACGCAGCGAAAGUUGCGCUAAUACCGCAUACGAUCUACGGAUGAAAGUGGGGGAUCGCAAGACCUCAUGCUCAUGGAGCGGCCGAUAUCUGAUUAGCUAGUUGGUGGGGUAAAGGCCUACCAAGGCAUCGAUCAGUAGCUGGUCUGAGAGGACGACCAGCCACACUGGAACUGAGACACGGUCCAGACUCCUACGGGAGGCAGCAGUGGGGAAUUUUGGACAAUGGGGGCAACCCUGAUCCAGCAAUGCCGCGUGAGUGAAGAAGGCCUUCGGGGUUGUAAAGCUCUUUUGUCAGGGAAGAAACGGUGAGGGCUAAUAUCCUUUGCUAAUGACGGUACCUGAAGAAUAAGCACCGGCUAACUACGUGCCAGCAGCCGCGGUAAUACGUAGGGUGCAAGCGUUAAUCGGAAUUACUGGGCGUAAAGCGUGCGCAGGCGGUUAUGUAAGUCAGAUGUGAAAUCCCCGGGCUCAACCUGGGAAUGGCAUUUGAGACUGCAUGGCUAGAGUGUGUCAGAGGGGGGUAGAAUUCCACGUGUAGCAGUGAAAUGCGUAGAGAUGUGGAGGAAUACCGAUGGCGAAGGCAGCCCCCUGGGAUAACACUGACGCUCAUGCACGAAAGCGUGGGGAGCAAACAGGAUUAGAUACCCUGGUAGUCCACGCCCUAAACGAUGUCUACUAGUUGUCGGGACUUAAUUGUCUUGGUAACGCAGCUAACGCGUGAAGUAGACCGCCUGGGGAGUACGGUCGCAAGAUUAAAACUCAAAGGAAUUGACGGGGACCCGCACAAGCGGUGGAUGAUGUGGAUUAAUUCGAUGCAACGCGAAAAACCUUACCUACCCUUGACAUGUACGGAACCUCUGAGAGAUUAGAGGGUGCUCGAAAGAGAGCCGUAACACAGGUGCUGCAUGGCUGUCGUCAGCUCGUG
rnacentral:rRNA from 1 species